GUAGGUGAACCUGCGGAAGGAUCAUUACCUUUCAAUGCAGAAGAGUUGAGAUGGUUGAGUAUCUCGCCUCUCAAUUCUCGCUGUAUUUUACCCUUGUUUUUCUCAUACUAUUAUUUCCUCGGCAGGCUCGCCUGCCGGGUGAAACAACCUCAAACCUGUUUAAUUUUCAAUCAGCGUCUGAACAAAUUAAUAAUUACAACUUUCAACAACGGAUCUCUUGGCUCUC
rnacentral:misc_RNA from 1 species